rnacentral:rRNA from 1 species
GAUGAACGCUGGCGGCGUGCUUAACACAUGCAAGUCGAACGGAAAGGCCCAAGCUUGCUUGGGUACUCGAGUGGCGAACGGGUGAGUAACACGUGGGUGAUCUGCCCUGCACUUCGGGAUAAGCCUGGGAAACUGGGUCUAAUACCGGAUGGGACCACUUCUUGGAUGUUGUGGUGGAAAGUUUUUUCGGUGUGGGAUGAGCUCGCGGCCUAUCAGCUUGUUGGUGGGGUAAUGGCCUACCAAGGCGUCGACGGGUAGCCGGCCUGAGAGGGUGUACGGCCACAUUGGGACUGAGAUACGGCCCAGACUCCUACGGGAGGCAGCAGUGGGGAAUAUUGCACAAUGGGCGCAAGCCGGAUGCAGCGACGCCGCGUGGGGGAUGACGGCCUUCGGGUUGUAAACUCCUUUCGCUAGGGACGAAGCGUUUUGUGACGGUACCUGGAGAAGAAGCACCGGCUAACUACGUG